ACGACGCACUGGUGGACACGGACCCCAGACCUGAACAGAGGUCGGACCGCAUUCUUCUACAAGGAUACACAGAAUAUUGCAUAAAGAUUCCAUGAGUCACGUGCCGUCUCUCUGCCGCAAGUGUGCAUUAACCCACGUGAAUGAAAAUCAGCUUGAAUUGAAUGAGACUAUAAGCCCCAACGUGGGGGCCCAUAUCAUUUAACUUUUCUCCAGGCCAGCACGGGCCUUUGUGUAAAUAAAUAGUUUUAAAGUAA